GUGCCAGCAGCCGCGGUAAGACAGAGGGUGCAAACGUUGUUCGGAAUUACUGGGCGUAAAGCGUGUGUAGGCGGUCCACUAAGUCGGGUGUGAAAGCCCUGGGCUCAACCCAGGAAGUGCACUCGAAACUGGCGGGCUAGAGUAUCGGAGAGGUUGGUGGAAUUCUCGGUGUAGAGGUGAAAUUCGUAGAUAUCGAGAGGAACACCGGUGGCGAAGGCGGCCAACUGGACGAAUACUGACGCUGAGACACGAAAGCGUGGGGAGCAAACAGGAUUAGAAACCCCAGUAGUCC
rnacentral:rRNA from 1 species